GUACACAAAAAUGCACAUAUUGUGAGCUCGAUGAGUAGGGCGGGACACGUGGUAUCCUGUCUGAAUAUGGGGGGACCAUCCUCCAAGGCUAAAUACUCCUGACUGACCGAUAGUGAACCAGUACCGUGAGGGAAAGGCGAAAAGAACCCCGGCGAGGGGAGUGAAAAAGAACCUGAAACCGUGUACGUACAAGCAGUGGGAGCCUCUUUAUGGGGUGACUGCGUACCUUUUGUAUAAUGGGUCAGCGACUUAUAUUCUGUAGCAAGGUUAACCGAAUAGGGGAGCCGAAGGGAAACCGAGUCUUAACUGGGCGUUAAGUUGCAGGGUAUAGACCCGAAACCCGGUGAUCUAGCCAUGGGCAGGUUGAAGGUUGGGUAACACUAACUGGAGGACCGAACCGACUAAUGUUGAAAAAUUAGCGGAUGACUUGUGGCUGGGGGUGAAAGGCCAAUCAAACCGGGAGAUAGCUGGUUCUCCCCGAAAGCUAUUUAGGUAGCGCCUCGUGAAUUCAUCUCCGGGGGUAGAGCACUGUUUCGGCAAGGGGGUCAUCCCGACUUACCAACCCGAUGCAAACUGCGAAUACCGGAGAAUGUUAUCACGGGAGACACACGGCGGGUGCUAACGUCCGUCGUGAAGAGGGAAACAACCCAGACCGCCAGCUAAGGUCCCAAAGUCAUGGUUAAGUGGGAAACGAUGUGGGAAGGCCCAGACAGCCAGGAUGUUGGCUUAGAAGCAGCCAUCAUUUAAAGAAAGCGUAAUAGCUCACUGGUCGAGUCGGCCUGCGCGGAAGAUGUAACGGGGCUAAACCAUGCACCGAAGCUGCGGCAGCGACACUAUGUGUUGUUGGGUAGGGGAGCGUUCUGUAAGCCUGUGAAGGUGGCCUGUGAGGGUUGCUGGAGGUAUCAGAAGUGCGAAUGCUGACAUAAGUAACGAUAAAGCGGGUGAAAAGCCCGCUCGCCGGAAGACCAAGGGUUCCUGUCCAACGUUAAUCGGGGCAGGGUGAGUCGACCCCUAAGGCGAGGCCGAAAGGCGUAGUCGAUGGGAAACAGGUUAAUAUUCCUGUACUUGGUGUUACUGCGAAGGGGGGACGGAGAAGGCUAUGUUGGCCGGGCGACGGUUGUCCCGGUUUAAGCGUGUAGGCUGGUUUUCCAGGCAAAUCCGGAAAACCAAGGCUGAGGCGUGAUGACGAGGCACUACGGUGCUGAAGCGACAAAUGCCCUGCUUCCAGGAAAAGCCUCUAAGCAUCAGGUAACAUCAAAUCGUACCCCAAACCGACACAGGUGGUCAGGUAGAGAAUACCAAGGCGCUUGAGAGAACUCGGGUGAAGGAACUAGGCAAAAUGGUGCCGUAACUUCGGGAGAAGGCACGCUGAUAUGUAGGUGAAGCGACUUGCUCGUGGAGCUGAAAUCAGUCGAAGAUACCAGCUGGCUGCAACUGUUUAUUAAAAACACAGCACUGUGCAAACACGAAAGUGGACGUAUACGGUGUGACGCCUGCCCGGUGCCGGAAGGUUAAUUGAUGGGGUUAGCGGUAACGCGAAGCUCUUGAUCGAAGCCCCGGUAAACGGCGGCCGUAACUAUAACGGUCCUAAGGUAGCGAAAUUCCUUGUCGGGUAAGUUCCGACCUGCACGAAUGGCGUAAUGAUGGCCAGGCUGUCUCCACCCGAGACUCAGUGAAAUUGAACUCGCUGUGAAGAUGCAGUGUACCCGCGGCAAGACGGAAAGACCCCGUGAACCUUUACUAUAGCUUGACACUGAACAUUGAGCCUUGAUGUGUAGGAUAGGUGGGAGGCUUUGAAGUGUGGACGCCAGUCUGCAUGGAGCCGACCUUGAAAUACCACCCUUUAAUGUUUGAUGUUCUAACGUUGGCCCGUAAUCCGGGUUGCGGACAGUGUCUGGUGGGUAGUUUGACUGGGGCGGUCUCCUCCUAAAGAGUAACGGAGGAGCACGAAGGUUGGCUAAUCCUGGUCGGACAUCAGGAGGUUAGUGCAAUGGCAUAAGCCAGCUUGACUGCGAGCGUGACGGCGCGAGCAGGUGCGAAAGCAGGUCAUAGUGAUCCGGUGGUUCUGAAUGGAAGGGCCAUCGCUCAACGGAUAAAAGGUACUCCGGGGAUAACAGGCUGAUACCGCCCAAGAGUUCAUAUCGACGGCGGUGUUUGGCACCUCGAUGUCGGCUCAUCACAUCCUGGGGCUGAAGUAGGUCCCAAGGGUAUGGCUGUUCGCCAUUUAAAGUGGUACGCGAGCUGGGUUUAGAACGUCGUGAGACAGUUCGGUCCCUAUCUGCCGUGGGCGCUGGAGAACUGAGGGGGGCUGCUCCUAGUACGAGAGGACCGGAGUGGACGCAUCACUGGUGUUCGGGUUGUCAUGCCAAUGGCACUGCCCGGUAGCUAAAUGCGGAAGAGAUAAGUGCUGAAAGCAUCUAAGCACGAAACUUGCCC
rnacentral:rRNA from 1 species